rnacentral:rRNA from 1 species
UGGGGGAUAUUGCACAAUGGGCGAAAGCCUGAUGCAGCGACGCCGCGUGGGGGAUGAAGGCCUUCGGGUUGUAAACUUCUUUUGCUCUGAACAAGGCAUGCCUUUGGGGUGUGUUGAGUGUAGGGGUUGAUUAGCGCCGGCUAACUACGUGCCAGCAGCCGCGGUAAUACGUAGGGCGCGAGCGUUGUCCGGAAUUAUUGGGCGUAAAGGGCUUGUAGGUGGCUGGUUGCGUCUGUCGUGAAAGCUCAUGGCUUAACUGUGGGUUUGCGGUGGAUACGGGCUGGCUUGAGUGCAGUAGGGGAGGCUGGAAUUCCUGGUGUAGCGGUGGAAUGCGCAGAUAUCAGGAGGAAUACCGGUGGCGAAGGCGGGUCUCUGGGCUGUUGCUGACGCUGAGGAGCGAAAGCGUGGGGAGCGAACAGG